rnacentral:rRNA from 1 species
AUUGAACGCUGGCGGCAUGCCUUACACAUGCAAGUCGAACGGUAACAGGUCUUCGGAUGCUGACGAGUGGCGAACGGGUGAGUAAUACAUCGGAACGUGCCCGAUCGUGGGGGAUAACGGAGCGAAAGCUUUGCUAAUACCGCAUACGAUCUACGGAUGAAAUCAGGGGACCGCAAGGCCUUGCGCGGACGGAGCGGCCGGUGGCAGAUUAGGUAGUUGGUGGGAUAAAAGCUUACCAAGCCGACGAUCUGUAGCUGGUCUGAGAGGACGACCAGCCACACUGGGACUGAGACACGGCCCAGACUCCUACGGGAGGCAGCAGUGGGGAAUUUUGGACAAUGGGCGAAAGCCUGAUCCAGCCAUGCCGCGUGCAGGAUGAAGGCCUUCGGGUUGUAAACUGCUUUUGUACGGAACGAAAAGACUCUUUCUAAUAAAGAGGGUCCAUGACGGUACCGGAAGAAUAAGCACCGGCUAACUACGUG